rnacentral:rRNA from 1 species
GUGAACGCUGGCGGUAGGCCUAACACAUGCAAGUCGCACGGCAGCACAGUAAGAGCUUGCUCUUCCGGGUGGCGAGUGGCGGACGGGUGAGGAAUACAUCGGAAUCUACUUUUUCGUGGGGGAUAACGUAGGGAAACUUACGCUAAUACCGCAUACGACCUACGGGUGAAAGCAGGGGAUCUUCGGACCUUGCGCGAUUGAAUGAGCCGAUGUCGGAUUAGCUAGUUGGCGGGGUAAAGGCCCACCAAGGCGACGAUCCGUAGCUGGUCUGAGAGGAUGAUCAGCCACACUGGAACUGAGACACGGCCCAGACUCCUACGGGAGGCAGCAGUGGGGAAUAUUGGACAAAGGGCGCAAGCCUGAUCCAGCCAUACCGCGUGGGUGAAGAAGGCCUUCGGGUUGUAAAGCCCUUUUGUUGGGAAAGAAAAGCAGCAGGUUAAUACCCCGCUGUUCUGACGGUACCCAAAGAAUAAGCACCGGCUAACUUCGUG